rnacentral:rRNA from 1 species
UGGGGAAUUUUGGACAAUGGGCGCAAGCCUGAUCCAGCCAUGCCGCGUGCGGGAAGAAGGCCUUCGGGUUGUAAACCGCUUUUGUCAGGGAAGAAAUCUUCUGAGUUAAUACCUCGGGAGGAUGACGGUACCUGAAGAAUAAGCACCGGCUAACUACGUGCCAGCAGCCGCGGUAAUACGUAGGGCGCAAGCGUUAAUCGGAAUUACUGGGCGUAAAGCGUGCGCAGGCGGUUUUGUAAGACAGAGGUGAAAUCCCCGGGCUCAACCUGGGAACUGCCUUUGUGACUGCAAGGCUUGAGUGCGGCAGAGGGGGAUGGAAUUCCGCGUGUAGCAGUGAAAUGCGUAGAUAUGCGGAGGAACACCGAUGGCGAAGGCAAUCCCCUGGGCCUGCACUGACGCUCAUGCACGAAAGCGUGGGGAGCAAACAGGAUUAGAUACCCUGGUAGUCCACGCCCUAAACGAUGUCAACUGGUUGUUGGGAAGGUUCCUUCUCAGUAACGUAGCUAACGCGUGAAGUUGACCGCCUGGGGAGUACGGCCGCAAGGUUGAAACUUAAAUGAAUUGACGGGGUCAUAGCUGUUU